ACUAGUAAUGCCCCAACGGCUCCUCGAUAGUAUGCACUUGUAAUUGCUCGAUACCUUGAGUUAAAGGAAUGCAAGAUGAGUUAUAUAUCACAUAGGCAUUGAAUCUCUCUCUACAAAAUAUGAUGACAAAAAUGACAAUCUUAAAUGCCUCAGAGACAUCUAUCCAGAUUUUGUGAUUGUCAUUUCACCAGAACAACUCAAUCCACAUAAUUGAAACAAUUGAGAGAACAUAGAGAAUAAUAUGUAAGCUUCCAAUAACAAAUCA